UGUUUGAACUAAAAAUAAAAAUACAGAAUACAGACAUAAAAAUAGUAAGAUGUAAUUGUUCAUAAACAAAUUUUUCUUUGACAUAUUUAUUGUUCCAACACUGUGUCAUCCGAGCUAGCAUUUUGUCAUUUUCUAGAUGCCAAGGGUUCUUAAUUUUUUCAUAAAUACAGGCCACCAAAAUCAAAAUUGUAAUAUUUCAGUACCAAGCGGAAAAACAUAUUUUAUAUGUAAGAACUUCAAACUAUGCACUUAAUAUUUUACUGCUUUAUUACUAUCACGUGUUUUUAUUUCAUUUCUAACAAUUUCCGGAACAGCUUACCAAAGCGAUUGUCUCAUUACUAUGUCAAGAAGUGUAUCGCGUGUCAGCAAAGUUUAUCGCAACCAGCUAGAUUGUCUAGAACCAUUUUACUGUAUAAAUGGCGUAAAAACAAAUACGAUCGAUGAUCCUGUGUUUGCAUCGCUGAUCGAAUAACCCAAAUUGUGAACGGUAUUUGGUUUGCAUUCGAAUUUAAUUCCGAAAUUAUUGUAUUUUGCCAUCUGAACUAUUCCACCGUGACAGAUUAUUCCAUUCAAAUGGAAUUUUAUUAGUCUAGUAUCGUAUAAUAUAGUAGCAUAAUAAAAUAAUAUUGUCGCGUAGUAUAGUACAAAUAAAAAGAUCAGUAUAAAUAAUAUCAUUUUGGAAAUCGUUUCGUGUAAAAGCAAUUAUUCCAAUUUCUAUCAGUAAAUUCUAAGUAUUUCUUAUUCUUAUCUUAGAUAGGAUAUUUUUCAAUACUAAUUAUGCAAGCAAUGUAUAAUAAUUUUUGUGAUUUGCAAUGUAUUGUAAUGAGCGUAAAAACAAUAAAUAUUUGGUACUAUUAGAUUAAAAAA